rnacentral:ribozyme from 1 species
UGCCCAGCAACUCCCAUCCCAACCUCCUCGCGGUACUGGCCGGGGUACAAGUAACCUUAUGGAAG